AUGGCCGACGAGCACUACGACGAGAGCUACGUCGACUGCUUCAUCAACUUCGACGCCAUGGAAGAGCCGUCCAUGGAGGAUCUCCUGGGAGCCAGGCAAACCAGGGCCGUGGCCGCCCAACACCAACAGGAUGCCGCGACUCUCGUCCACCAGGCACCGCCGUCCGAUGACGUUGAGGCGCAGUACCUCCAGGCACCGGCGCCACCGCGGCCGCCGAUCCAACAACAGCAACUGCCCUACGAGCCGUAUUUUUACGGCUUCCAUGAUGAAAUUCUGAUGCCGGAGCCCAUCCCUCAAGUUCAUCCAGUUAUGCAGGUUCAGAACGCCCCUUCCGCUCACAUGCAGAACCAUCAGGCGCCGGCGCCGGCGCUGUUGCAUGAGCACGAUCAAUACCAGCAUUUGCUAGGGGAUGUCCCUCAGGCGCCGGCAGCGCCUGCCGACCACGAGGACCACCAAAUUCUGGAUGGGCCGUCGGAUAUAAUGCUGGACGAGUCGCUGUUACACGAUCUAAUGCAGAUGCUGACGCCCACCGCUGACGUUCACCUGGAGGUGGCGCCCUCCGACCGUGUGCAGCACCUUCAGGCUCCGGCGACGGCCGUCCAACACCAACAGACGCUAGGCCAGUCAUCGGCGCACUACUUGCACGGUCCAAUACCAGGGGAGGCGUCGGUUCACAUGCAGCACCAUCAGGCGACGGCGGAGCCCGCGGCGCCCUUCCACCAGGAGCAGCACCUUCAAGCGCCCGUCCACCAAAUGCAAAUGCAGCAUCAGUCGUCAGAUUAUAGCUUCGGUGAUAUAGUGUUGGACGACUCGCUGCUCCAAGAUCUGAUGCAGAUGCCAUCGCCCAUGGCUCACGAUAUCCAAGCGGCGCCUGCCGACCAUGUGCAGCAAGUCCAGGCUCCGGCACCGGCCGUCCAACACCACCUCCAACAGAUGCCGGCCGAGUCGUCACCUCAAGGCUUCCGCAACCAAAUGCUAGGAGAGUCGUCGGCUCGACGCUUCCACGAUCAAGUGCCAGACGAGGCGUCCACUUCUGGCUCCAGUCAAACGCCGAUGCCGGCAUGCCAGGAAGACAUCCUUAGCCCUCGUUCCUCCGGCUGCUCCUCCAUGGUGCGCGAGUACUUGAACCAAAAUGACCAAUUUGAUAUCGCCGAGGCGCCCCUCAUGAGCGACAGCGGCAGCAAUGGUGUCCCAAGUGCGGGCUUAAUGGAGGAUGAUCAAGGAUUCGUGCCGCUCAUUCCGGGGCAACUACAAUGUAGCCAAUGCCAUGUUGUUAGGCAAAUCAGGUUCCAAUGUGAGGUUCCACUUGUUCACAUCUUUCUCCACAGUACGACACACACAAGCUUUGAGGAUGCUAUCCGUAAUCGCAAUGUGUCGGCGCGAGGAACCUUUGAGCAUGCUAUACUUGAUCGCCAUCACUUUGCUGUCGGCGGACAAGUCCCUAGAGCGGAACGGAUGUACAUCGAUUUCCAUAGGCGCACGGGUGAGUUUGUGCUCAACUUUCUUGCAAACAUUGUGGAUGCACUAAGGAUGGAAAAGGGCGGCACCCUGGAGGACACCUCUGAAACUGUCCAGAGAGCGCCGUCCAGAUCCAACGUCAACCCAAAUCCGGCACUUCGAAACGACACAUUGCAGCAAGUGGAAACUACAAUGCUGAACAUGAUCAUAAACUCCACUGCUGUAAAUGCAGAAGCAGCGCAGCCGGCACCACCGCCUCCUGCUGCUGAACCGGAGCCGGCCAUUGACACAGCUACAAACACCGUGCAUGAAAUACUAACGCCUACUAAUAUUUUCGACUCAUCGAAUGUCGUUCCGGAAGAGCACCCCAUUAGUGAGGCUGCUAAGCUGCAGCAAGAGGGAACGGCGAGCUUGAGCGCGGAGGAGGAGGAGGAGGUGGAGAUGCGGCAGUACUUGCACGAGAUGAUGGUGAAGGCUCGGAGGGAACUGGACAUGCCAUACGGCCCGGUACAGAAGUUUUGCCGUGGCAAUACCUACACCUGGAUGUGGCGCCGGAUUAAUACCCUCAACAGGAGGAUCAUAAACUUCGUGGAGAAAUCAUUGAAUGUUACACUAAAUGGACUGUUGAGAAUCAAGACGGAGGUCAAUGAAGCAGUUGUUGAGAAAGAACGGCUGCUUGCUGAAAUCGUCAGGGGUAUGAAGAAGCAGAGGGAGAGCAGGGGCAAAAAUGACAGGGAAGCUGGCACUUCCGGUAUCAAGAAGGCUGGUGGCGCUUCGAACUAG
rnacentral:rRNA from 1 species